rnacentral:rRNA from 1 species
UACGUAGGGGGCGAGCGUUGUCCGGAAUCAUUGGGCGUAAAGAGCUCGUAGGUGGUUCGGUAAGUCGGAUGUGAAAUCUCCAGGCUCAACCUGGAGGGGUCAUUCGAUACUGCCGUGACUAGAGUUCGGUAGAGGAGUGUGGAAUUCCUGGUGGAGCGGUGAAAUGCGCAGAGAUCAGGAGGAACACCCGUAGCGAAGGCGGCACUCUGGGCCGAUACUGACACUGAGGAGCGAAAGCGUGGGGAGCGAACAGG